AGUGAACGCUGGCGGCGUGCUUAACACAUGCAAGUCGAACGAGAACGGAUUAUAGCUUGCUAUAAUUGUCAGCUAAGUGGCGCACGGGUGAGUAAUGUAUAGGUAAUAUGCCUCUUACUAAGGGAUAACAAAUGGAAACGUUUGCUAAUACCUUAUACUCCUUAUUAACAUAAGUUAAUAAGGGAAAGAUUUAUUGGUAAGAGAUUAGCCUGUAUUGUAUCAGUUAGUUGGUGGGGUAAUGGCUUACCAAGACUAUGACACAUAACUGGUUUGAGAGGAUGAUCAGUCACACUGGAACUGAGACACGGUCCAGCCUCCUACGGGAGGCAGCAGUGGGGAAUAUUGCACAAUGGACGAAAGUCUGAUGCAGCAACGCCGCGUGGAGGAUGACACAUUUCGGUGCGUAAACUCCUUUUAUAUGAGAAGAUAAUGACGGUAUUAUGUGAAUAAGCACCGGCUAACUCCGUGCCAGCAGCCGCCGUAA
rnacentral:rRNA from 1 species